UCAGUGAUGUAGUAUGACAUG
rnacentral:miRNA from 1 species